rnacentral:rRNA from 1 species
UAAUACGAAGGGGGCUAGCGUUGUUCGGAAUUACUGGGCGUAAAGCGCGCGCAGGCGGCUAUCCAAGUCAGUGGUGAAAGCCCGGAGCUCAACUCCGGAACUGCCAUUGAAACUGUUUAGCUUGAGGACGAGAGAGGUGAGUGGAAUUCCCAGUGUAGAGGUGAAAUUCGUAGAUAUUGGGAAGAACACCGGUGGCGAAGGCGGCUCACUGGCUCGUAUCUGACGCUCAGGCGCGAUAGCGUGGGGAUCAAACAGG